rnacentral:rRNA from 1 species
AUGGAAGAUGAACCUCCAAUCUUUGCUGAAGAGGAGGCUGGUUCUAGUAAGAAAAAGAAGAAACGAAAACGCGAGACAAUAAAGCAGACUCAAUGCAAAGCAAAAAUGUUCGUGAAGCUGAUGGAUGGGCGAUGGGAGGUGACGCAUUUUGUUCGUGACCACAAUCAUCCGCUGGUGAACAAACCUUCGUUGUCAAAAUACUUGAGAUCCCACCAAGGCAUCUCUCCUGAUGAAAAGGAGUUUUUGCGCAUCUUGUAUAACUGCAACUUGACUACAGGUGUGUUUCUAUAUCCCUUACAGAAUUAA